rnacentral:rRNA from 1 species
ACCUGCAGGCGGCCGCGAAUUCACUAGUGAUUUCCAACUACGAGCGUUUUAAAUGCAACAAAUUUUACAUGUACGUGCGAGGCUGGAAUUACCGCGGCUGCUGGCACCAGACUUGCCCCUCGCUAGUAUUCACGAAUGGACCUGAAUUUCGUCCAUUCCAGUCUAUUGCUCAAAGAGUUAGACUGAUAUUUCUCGUCACUACCUCCCCAGUUCGGGAGUGGGUAAUUUGCGCGCCUGCUGCCUUCCUUAGAUGUGGUAGCGAUAUCUCAAGCUGCCUCUCCGGAAUCGAACCCUGAUUCCCCGUGACCCGUCGUAAUCUAGUUAGGAAAAUAUCCUAACUACAAAUUGAUAGGGCGCGAUUUUAUUUGAUCUGUCGUCGGCAUAAAGCCAUACGAUCAGCAAAGUCAUCUAGAAUCACCUUUCGCUUGAAGCCUUACGGCAACAUGCGAUCGGAUAUCAGAAAAAUGCAUCCAGCCAGUAAAGGCUGGAUAUCAAUGCAAGUCUUAGCUCUAGAUUUUCUACGGUUAUCCUGUAGAUUGACAAUCAAGAAAAAUGUAGGCGUUGUAAUGAGCUAUCCGCAGUUUCACUCUACCGAAGUAUGUACUUA